CACCUGCUCCUGCUGGCCAUCCCAGGGCUCCGGGCGGCCGUGACCCUGCUGGAGUCCGGGGGGGACCUCCAGCCCCCCGGGGGGUCCCUGCGCCUCCUCUGCCGAGGCUCCGGGUUCAGUUUUGGGAGUUUUGACAUGUUAUGGGUCCGCCAGAGGCCCGGGCAGGCGCUGGAAUACAUCGCAGGGAUCAACACUGGUGGAGGCACCGCCUACGCGCCGUCGGUGCAGGGCUGGUUCACGAUCUCCAGGGACAACGGGCAGAGCUCGGUGACGCUGACCAUGAACAACCUCAAGGACGAGGAUUCCGGAUCCUAUUUCUGUGCCAAGGGUGCUGGUGCUGGUGGUGCUUAUGCUAAUUAUGUUGACACAGCCGGUGGCGGCCCCACCCUAAAUUCCAUGCCUUCAAACAUGUCAAUAUUCUAA